GGGAAGGUAGCUCAGUGGUAGAGUGCUUGCCUUGCAUGCAUGAGGCCAUGGGUUCGAUUCCUCAGUACCA
rnacentral:tRNA from 1 species